rnacentral:ncRNA from 1 species
GAUUUAUUCCCAUUGCUCUGCAUGUCAAAGUAAAGAAAUUCAACCAAGCGUGUGUAAAUGGCAGGAGUAACUAUGAAUAUAUUAAGGUAUCUAGAUGCCUCAUCAUCUAAUUACUGAUGUGCAUGAAUGGAU